ensembl:lncRNA
ACUCCUUUCAGCAUCUUGUAAGGCAAGUCUAGUGGUGGUGAACUCUCUCAGCUUUACUUUGUCUGGCAAAGUCAUUAUCUCUCCAUUUCUGAAGGACAGCUUUGCUGAGUAAAGUAUUCUUGGUUAACAUUUUUUUUUUUCUUUCAGCACUUUGAACAUAUCAUCCUAUUCUUUCCUGACCUGCAGGAUUUCUGCUGAGAAAUCUGCUCAUAGCCUGAUGGGGGUUCUUUUCUAUGUGAGUAAUUUAUUUUUCUUUUGCUGCUUUUAAAAUUCUCUAUUUUUCUUUUAUUUUAGGCAGUUUUAUUAUAAUGUGUCUGGGAGAACAUUCUUUUGUAUUGAAUCUAUUUGGGGACCUAUGAACUUCAUAAAUUUGGAUGUCCAAAUCUCUCCCCAGAUUUGGGAAGUUCUCAUCCAUUAUUUAAAGGAAUAAGCUUUCUUCCUUUUUCUCCCUCUCUUCUCCUUCUGAGACUCCCGCAAUGAGUAAAUUGUUUCUUUUGGUGUAUUCCAUAAUUCACAUAGGCUUUGUUAAUUCUUUUUUCAUUCUUUCAUCCUUGGUCUCCUACUACUGCAUAACUUCAAAUGCGCUGUCUUCAAGUUCACAGAUUCUUUCUUCUGCUUGGUUAAGACUGAUGUUGAUGCUCUGUAUUGCAUUUUUUAUUUCAUUCAUUGUCUCCUUCAGCUCCAGAAUUUCUGCUUGGCUCUUUUUAUGAUUUCUGUCUCUCUAUUAAACUUCUCAUUUUGAUCAUAUAUUGUUUUUCUGGUUUCAUUGAAUUGUCUUUUUGUGUUUUCUUUUAGUUUACUGAGCUUCCUUAAAACAACUAUUUUGAAUUCUUUAUUGGGAAAAUUCAGGUCUCCAUUUCUUAGGAAUUGGUUACUAGAAAAUUAUUGUAUUCCUUUGGUGAUGUCAUGCUUCCUUGAAUUUUCAUAUUUCUUGAAUUCUGGCAUUGCUGUCUUCCAGUUUGAAGCAGCAGUCUCAUCCUCCAGUGUUUGCCGACUGGCUUCAGGAGAGAAACACCUUCUGUCAGUCUUGCUAGAGAUUCUGAGGCUUUCUCAGACCUUUUCUAUGGGUAUUCCUGCUCCACACUUCUUGUUCCCUCUUAAAUUCUUAAGAUUGUAUGUCUUCUCUUGACCCUGCAAAGCCAGGUUUGUUGUUGACAACCUCCCGUUUGCUUUCCCUGGGGCAGUGCUGAAUCCUCACGUUUUUUUGCCUUCUCCCAAUAUCACAGUGUCAGACUGGCUUUCUGCACAUGCUCACCUGCAGAGCAUAUCAUCAGCAGAGGCUCACACUUGCCACCUUUGGAAGUGCGCUCAAGGAGCUGGCCAUGAAGUGAGGCGUGCUGGAACUUCUCUGCUAGACUCCUGGACUUGGUAAUCUCAUGGACAAUGGCAAUCUUGUCCCUGGGAGUACUUAGGAGAAAUGGUGUCUCUUUGCUGUUCCUGUCUCUGAAGAAGAAUGAAGAUUCUGCUGGCCCUGAGUUAACUCCUAAACUACCCAGAAGAUGUAAAAUCUUGGAUGAUCAAGCUAUUUCAACCUAUUAAUAAUCACGGAGCUGAUGAAUGUGGUUAUAACAAGACUAGAGACCAGACUUUAUGCAUUCUACCACUGUGUUUAGUAGAAUAACUAAGAUGGGGACUCAGUUGAUGCUAUUGUUACUACCUUUGUUAUUUUAAACUGAAAAUAAUCUUAGUGAUCAUCAUUCUAAACAUUUCCUUUUACAGAUGAAGAAACUGUGGCCCAAAG